AGCAGCCGUGGUAAUUCCAGCUCCAAUAGCGUAUAUUAAAGUUGUUGCAGUUAAAAGCUCGUAGUUGAAUUUCGGGGUCAGCAGGUUGGUCGUGCCAAUGGUAUGCACUGGCCUUGCUGAUUCCUACCUCUUGAUGAGCCAUAAUGCCAUUAAUUUGGUAUUGCGGGGAAUCAGGACUGUUACUUUGAAAAAUUGAGUGUUUAAAACAGGCAAGCGCUUGAAUACAUUAGCAUGGAAUAAUGAAAUAAGACGUUUGAUCCUAUUUUGUGGUUUCUAGGAUUGACGUAAUGAUUAAUAGGGAUAGUUGGGGGCAUUAGUAUUCAAUUGUCAGAGGUGAAAUUCUUGGAUUUAUUGAAGAUUAACUACUGCGAAAGCAUUUGCCAAGGAUGUUU
rnacentral:rRNA from 1 species